UACGUAGGGGGCUAGCGUUGUCCGGAUUUAUUGGGCGUAAAGAGCGUGUAGGCGGCCAGGUAGGUCCGCUGUGAAAACUCGAGGCUCAACCUCGAGAUGUCGGCGGAAACCAUCUGGCUAGAGUCCGGAAGAGGAAAGUGGAAUUCCCGGUGUAGCGGUGAAAUGCGCAGAUAUCGGGAGGAACACCAAUGGCGAAGGCAGCUCGCUGGGACGUUACUGACGCUGAGACGCGAAGCGUGGGGAGCAAACAGG
rnacentral:rRNA from 1 species